GCUUAACACAUGCAAGUCGAACGAGACCUUCGGGUCUAGUGGCGCACGGGUGCGUAACGCGUGGGAAUCUGCCCUCUGGUACGGAAUAACUCAGGGAAACUUGAGCUAAUACCGUAUAAUGACUUCGGUCCAAAGAUUUAUCGCCUGAGGAUGAGCCCGCGUAGGAUUAGCUUGUUGGUGAGGUAAAGGCUCACCAAGGCGACGAUCCUUAGCUGGUCUGAGAGGAUGAUCAGCCACACUGGGACUGAGACACGGCCCAGACUCCUACGGGAGGCAGCAGUGGGGAAUAUUGGACAAUGGGCGAAAGCCUGAUCCAGCAAUGCCGCGUGAGUGAUGAAGGCCUUAGGGUUGUAAAGCUCUUUUACCCGGGAUGAUAAUGACAGUACCGGGAGAAUAAGCCCCGGCUAACUCCGUGCCAGCAGCCGCGGUAAUAC
rnacentral:rRNA from 1 species